AUCGCCAAUUAGAAAAGGAUUCUGAUUGUUGAACUUGAAUUAGCUCAAUUGGAUCUAAAUCGGUUAGAUUGGAGUCUAAUCAAAUUAGGUCAACAUGCACCCAAAUCUACUACUGGCUAGAUGUGGAACCCAAUGGACCACACACAUAAAAAAAUUAGCCAAAGAUCCUUUUAAUAAGAUCGAUUGAAAUUGUGGAUCCAAUCAGGAUCUCCAGUAAGCAUGCUAGUAUGUGUAGAAAUCCGAGCUCCUUGGAAGAUCAAAUUUGGUCUCAAUCCUUGUUAAUUUGGUAACCCAAUUUGGUGAGCAAUUGGGUUAGGUCGUGCCACCUGGAGGCAGCCUAAAGAGGAGCGCUUCAACUCAUCUUAAUGCCAAAAACCAAGAGUCCUUUUUGUUAAGGACUCUUGGUGCAAAUUUAAGAAGAGCGCACACACUCUUUGGUUUUGGCUUUGGUCCUUCUGCUUUGGAUCUCUAACCCAUAUGGCAACAAAUCAGAUCCUUAACCUCUUUUGCAUGCCUUUUAUAGUAUGAAAAAUCCUUUGGAUUUGGCGUGGAAACGCUUCUGGAUGUGGGCGCAUGCGCAAGAUGGAGUAACGCGACCUUUCGCGUUAUAGAGUCCUUCUGAUGUUUAAAUUUUAUUUAUACGGAUGCCACCUACUAAAUUAUAUUCCUUAUUGGUUACAUAAUCAAAUGGAAGUUUAUCUGGAAUUUUUCCAGAUUUAUUUGGAGAGGGAAGGAUGCCUGAAACACCCAUCUCAUGCACGUACAAGGAGAAAGAAUUAACGCGAGGAGUUGCGUCUUCACGCUAUCUUUUCUCUCUGCUGGGAUAUAUUCACAUCUUGAUUUUUGUGCCAUAAGAAGCCUCAUUCAGAUGGCUAUCCAAGUGGCAAAAUCAGAUUUAAUCUGAUUUGUGAUGAGGCACAGAAGAUAUCUCUUUUUCCGGAUGGAUGCGAAGGAAGGCUGAAUCUCCAUAUUAGAUAAUUAAGAGUCCUCUUAUAAGACUCUUAACAUCUCAUACACCGAUUCAUACCAUUUGCGGAGAGGCUUAUCUGGACUCUCUGGCGCCCCUCCUAUUGCUAUAAAUAGGAGGCGGCAGAUAGGAUGAUCAUUCAAUUCUUACAACAUCCUAUCCACUCCCUCUCCCUCUCUUACAACCUUGGUUCUUUUAGGACAAGGCUUGUUAUUUUAAGACAAGCCAAAAUGAUAAGCCUAAUCCUCUUAAGACAAAAGGUUCAAGAGGUCCAGAAGAAGGUGAUCAGGUGCAGUAAAAGAUUUUGAGAGGUCCAGACUCGAGCCUUGAGGAAGGUCUGAUCGACUGGUGGCUAGUCGAGUUCUAGGGGCUAGAACUCUUGAAGCAAGGUGAAGGAGCACUGUUCUUGAUCUGAUUUUCGUGUGGAUCACCGUUGGAGGGCGAACACUUGGACGCCUCAUGAAAAUUAAGAUUAGCGCUAAAGGUAUUCUUCUUAUUCAAGUUUAAUUUAAUUAUGCUUUGAUUGUUAUAGUCAAAGAUUCCUGGGCAUUAGUGUUUUAGUGCAUCGGUGUUUUGAAUGAAAAUUUUAAACACCCAGUCCUUCUGCUGCACCACCGGUACCCAACAGUUGUUAUCAGAGCCUACCUUGAUUUAUACAAUCAAAGGUUAGAAUAUUGUCUUGAUUGUGAUCAAGCUUGGAUUUUUGGUUUGAUUCAAAUCGGAUCAAUGGUUGAACCCAAUUGAACAUCCAAACCCUAGCAUGUCGUAAAGAUUUAUUUAGAUACAUAACGUUAUGCUUAAAUGCAUGAUGUAUGGAUUCUAUAUGCAUAUGUAGAUAUAGAAUUUUUCUUAGUAGCCUAAUAGUCGGAUUGGGGUUCAUCAUUAGGCCGUUCGGUCAUAAGAGCAAGUAGGAUUCAAAGACCCUCUCUUUCCAUUCCAUGGGGUACUCUUAUGGCGUGUAGGGAUGGCACUGUGAUGUCCCAAGAAGAACCACGAAAAGAAUGUUUUAUAUUGAUGCAUGCUAUUAGUACUGCAUGCAUAUGAUAUGCUUAAGUUGCUAAGUAAUAAUCAUAUUGUAUGAUUAUGAUUUCAUAUCUUGGAGAUAUGAUUAGAUGCCAUGAUUAGUUGUUAUGUUUAUAAAAACACAACAAUAAUAGUGUAUCGUUAUGAUUAGUUGAAUUAAGAUGUGCAUUAAAGCAUUAAAGCCCUCACAAACAUCAUAUUAAGUCGUAGUGUUAUGAACUAGUAGCUAACCAAUUUCUUGAAUCGAUUAAUCAAUUGAUGUCUGAGUAUUUCAAGUACAGUGGUUCUUUAAUUGAUUCCGUUCGUUGAUCUGACCAAUUUAUUGAUGUCUAAAAAAAGCAACGGAAGGACCCCGCCAAUCUUAAUACUUUUCUGGUCAAUUGGAUUAGUUCAAAUCUUGAAUGAUGGUUGUUUAGUAUUUUAAACACUACAUUUACCUUCCUUCAUGCUAAGUCAAUAUCCUAUCAAAAAUCAUAGUAGGUUUGUUGUGAUAUCCACAAGACUUGCUAUGAAGAUUAAUGUGGGGUUGUCUUAAUGUAUAUUAGAUGCUUUACAGCAUAUUUUGGAUAUGUUGCUUUGUUAUGAUAUCCAUAAAGGUAGCAUUUUUCAGAUAUGACUGUAUAGAAAUAAAAGAUUUGACUUAACUAAAAAAUACUAUAGUUUGUCGUGGUAUCCAUAAGGCCAUAAGUGUUUUUAGAGGCAAAGAUUAUGUGAAAAUUACAUGAGAUGUAAUUGAAUAGGUUUUCCUACUUUUGAACUCAUUGAAGUUUGUUGUGAUAUCCACAAGGCUUCAUUGAGAGAUUAGGAUCUCAAUCCCACUAAGAAACCAAUUUAGGAUUUUAUAGAGAGAGCUAUGGUAUUUGAUAAAAUAGUGGAAGACAUAACUAGUCAAAAGACUUCAUCUAGUUAUGCAUAUCAAACAUGAGUGGUCUGCUUAUAUUAUUGUUCUUUAUUUAUGUAGAUUUCAUUCUGCAUUAUGGCUUCUUUAUUUUCACUGCAUGAAACCAUAAAUAAAAAUAAGUUGAUUGAUCCAAAUCAAAGAAUACCGUAGCUGACCGAACCGCCCGAUACGAGGCAUGCCGAACCGUCCCGGUGAGGAACCGAAACGGUUCCGGCAUGAAAAACAGCACAUGCCGGUGCUGGAGAAGAAAAGAGAGAAAAAGAAGAAAAGAGAGUAAGAGAGAGAAAGGAAGAAAAAGAGGGAGGGGUCUGCCGGAGGGGCCGUCGGAGGGCCUCCGUCGGGCCAUCGCGGCCGUCGAGCGGCGUAAACGCCUCCCGCGGCUCUGCAGCGUGAAACAAGGGCUAUCCACCCCUCGCCCCUGUUUUUCAUAUUUUUUAAAAAAUAUUUUUUUAAAUGAAGCCGACAUGGGGUUUGCCGACUUCACUUAAGUGAUGCCUGCAAACCCAGUGCCGGCUUCAUUUUAAAAAAUCUUUUUUUUAAAAAAAACACAAAAACAGGGACGGAUCGCCCCUGUUUCAUGCCGCAGAGCCGCAGGGGCCGUAAACGCCCCCUGCGGGCCAUGACAGCCUGCCGGAGGCCCUCCGACAGACCCCCUCCCUCUUUUUCUUUCUUCCUCCCUCUCUCUCUAUCUUUCUCUCUUUUUCUUCUCCGAUUCGGCUCUAUUUUUCUUCGUUGGUUCGUCUCGAUUCGGAACGGAAUAGAAGCAUGUCGAACCGUACCGCCGACCGACCGAUCCAACCAUCGGUACCGGUUCUACAAACCUUGAUCCAAACUAUGUGGAUUGGUUGAAAAAUUUGCAAAUUAGGUUCGUACCAAAAAAGAACUCCGAUGUUCUAGAUAUUCCUGAUCCUGGAUCGAUCAAUGAUAAUGUUUACAAAAAUAAGAAGGCAAAAGAUGUCCACUCGGAUAUCAUCUGUUCAUUUUGUGACAAAUUUGAACAUUGAAAGAAUAAUUACAAAAAUUAUCAUGCAAAUUUGAAGUAGGAUGCAAGUGUUGCACCAAAAGGUGUGUAUAUAAUUCAGACCUGUUUUUCAUUGAGUGCAUCACUCUGAUACUUGGGUAUUGGAUACUGCCUGUGGAUCGCAAAUAUGUAAUUCAUUGCAGCGACUACAGCAUAUCAGAGGUCUAAAAAGAAGUGACCUUGCAUUUUUUUUUAUAACGCAAGUAGAGAGUCCAUUAGCGCAGAGGCUGUAAAAACCUGCAUACUUAAUUUGCCUUCGAACAAGACUUUNNNNNNNNNNNNNNNNNNNNAAAGUUAUAAAAUAAAUUAAUAGGUAAUGGUUNCUUCCAUUUUUUUUUCUAAUGAAAUUUAUGGCAGUGGUUAUAUUGAUAACAAUCUUUUAAUUCUGACAAUCAAUAAAAAUAUUUUUUAUAUUGAUAGAAAUAUGAAAAAAAGAGAGAACAUAUAAAUAUUAUAUAUCUCUAGCAUUGCCACCUUGGUCGUAUUAGUGAAUCAAGGAUAAACAAGUUAUACAAAGGUGAAUACUUUGACCCAUAUGAUUUUUAAUCAUUGGGAACUUGUGAACUUGUCUCAUGGAUAAGAUAACCAAGACUCCAUUCUCUGGAUAUGAAGAGAGAGGGUAAAGGAGCUAUUAGUCCUAGUACAUUCAGAUGCAUGUAGGUCGAUGACAACUCAGGUCAGAGAAGGAUACUCCUAUUUUAUCACCUUUACGGAUGAUCCAUCAAGAUUCGAAUAGAUGUAUCUUAUGAAACAUAAAUCCAAAGCCUUUGAUAAGUUCAAAAAGUAUCAAAGCAUGAUCGAGAAACAAACUAGAAAAAGUAUCAAGAUUCUUCGAUCUGAUCGAAGAGAAGAAUACUUAUUCAGUGAAUNNNNNNNNNNNNNNNNNNNNNNNNNNNNNNNNNNNNNNNNNNNNNNNNNNNNNNNNNNNNNNNNNNNNNNNNNNNNNNNNNNNNNNNNNNNNNNNNNNNNNNNNNNNNNNNNNNNNNNNNNNNNNNNNNNNNNNNNNNNNNNNNNNNNNNNNNNNNNNNNNNNNNNNNNNNNNNNNNNNNNNNNNNNNNNNNNNNNNNNNNNNNNNNNNNNNNNNNNNNNNNNNNNNNNNNNNNACAUCACAGCUAAAUGGUGUAGCAAAAAGGCAGAAUCGCACUUUGAUGGAUAUAGUGCGGUCUAUGAUGUGCUUCACUGAUCUCCCAAUAUUAUUCUGAGGAUAUGCCCUAGAGACUGUCGUAAACAAGGUGCCUUCAAAAUCUGUUACAAGCACUCCAUAUAAAAUAUGGAAAGAAAAGAAGCCUAAUCUUAAACAUCUUAAGAUUUGGGACUAUCCUGCUUAUGUCAGGAAUGUCUUCGGACAUAAGCUUAGUGCUAGAUCAGACAGGUGUAGAUUUGUAAAGUAUCCUAAGAAAACUAAUGGAUACUACUUCUACCAUCCUACUGAACAAAAGAUAUUUGUUGGUAGGUAUGCCACUUUCUUAAAAAAUGAAUUCAUCCAAGGAGGCAGUGGGAGGAAUAUUGAACUUACGAAAGUUCAGCAUCUACAAAUCAAUCCAGAAAUACUUGUGGUUGAACCACAAGAAAAUCCUUAACCAGAAGUACCCAAGGAUGAGGUACAUCUACAACACACAUCUCUUCUCCGAAGAUCAGAUAGAAUGCGUCAAGCACCUCUGAAAUAUGAUUGUCCUUGAGAGUGACAAUUCGAUCAACAUCAUUCAAGAUGAUGAUCCACUGACCUAUUCGGAAGCUGUCAUAAGUAAAAACUCAGACAGAUGGCUGAAAGCCAUGAAAUCCGAGAUGGACUCUAUGUACACUAAUCAAGUAUGGAUUUUGGUUGAUGCGUCUGAGGGUGUGACCCCAAUAGGGUGCAAGUGGAUCUUUAAGAAGAAGAUCAAAGUAGAUAGCCAAGCAGAAACCUACAAAGCUAGAUUGAUGGCAAAAAGUUUCAAACAAAGGCAAAAAAUUGACUAUGAUGAAACCUUCUCACCGGUGGCUAUGCUCAAGUCCAUCCGGAUUUUGCUUGCUAUAGCUGCAUCUAUGACUAUAAAAUCUGACAGAUGAAUGUAAAAACCACUUUCCUCAACGGUAAUCUUGAGGAAGAGAUCUAUAUGACUCAGCGAGAGAGAUUUAUCUCAAGUGGGAAGGCAAAUCAAGUAUGCAAGCUGAAAAAAUUUAUUUAUGGAUGAAACCAGACUUCAAAGAGCUGGAACAUCUGAUUUGAUAUGAUGGUCAAAGAGUUUGGUUUUAUCAAAAAUGAGGAUGAACCAUGUGUGUAUGAGAAGACAAGUGAAAGUGCUAUUUUCUUGAUUCUAUAUGUCGAUGACAUACUACUCAUUGGAAAUGAUAUCUCAAUAUUACAAUCGAUCAAGACUUGACUAUCAAAUAAAUUUUCUAUGAAAGACUUGGGUGAAGUAUCUUAUAUACUGGAUAUAAAGAUCUAUAGAGAUAAAUCUAAAAGGAUACUAAGCUUGUCCCAGUCUCGAUACAUAGAUCUCAUGUUGAAAAAAAUUCAAUAUGGAAGCAAGUAAGAAAGGUUACUUGUCAGUAAGUCAUGAUAUACGUCUCUCUAAGAAAAUGUCCUAAAACACCAGAAGAGAGAUAGAGGAUGAACGAAAUCCCUUAUACUUCGACUGUGGAAUCAAUUAUGUAUGCCAUGCUAUGUACCAGGCUUGAUGUAGCUUAUACUUUAAACGUAGCUAACAGAUUUCAGACUGAUCCAGAAGAGGAUCAUUGAAAAGCUGUGAAAAACAUCCUAAAGAACCUAAGGACAAAAUAUUUUUCUCAUAUUUGGAGGAGGAUCAGAGUUGAAACUAGAGAGAUAUACAGAUUCUAGUUUUCAAUUUGAUCCGAAUGAUAGUAAGUUAAUAUCAAGAUACGUGUUUAUCCUAAAUGAUAGAGCAAUGAGUUGGAAGAAUUCCAAACAACAGAUUGUAGUUGACUUAGCCACUGAGGCAGAAUACAUCGCUGCUAGUAAAGCCGCUAAAAAAGCAAUCCGGAUGAAUAUAUUCAUUACAAAAUUGGGUAUUGGUUCCUAAGAUAAAACGACCAGAGCCAGUUUAUUGUGAUAAUACUGAGAUCGUUGCUUAAGCAAGGAACAUAGGUCUCAUUUGACACCCAAGCACAUCCACUGACGCUUCCAUCUCAUUCGAAAAAUCAUAAAGGGACAAAAUGUUGUCUUAGAACAAGAACAAUAUAGCAGACCCAUUCACUAAGGCCAUACCAUAACGGCUAUUUGAUCGCCAUCUUAAUUGUAUAGAAUUAAAAUACAAAAGGGAUUGGCUUUAGUGCAAAUGGGAGAUUGAAAGAAAAAUAUCCUACAAGCUAAUCGCAUAUAUGUUGCGAUGGGACUUUUCUUUGUAAUUUUCCAACUCAUAUAAUGACAUUUAUUAUUUGAUAAUAAAAUGAGAAAUUGAUUCAUUAUUUUAGCUGCAUCUUAUUAUAUCUAAGAUUAUGAUGAACCUCAAAAAUUAGGACAAUGAUUUUAGGAGACAUGAAUGGGUCAUGCUAAUGAGACUUAAAAUCCUAAAACCCUAAUCUUAAAUAUUUCUGAUCGUAGGAGCAUUGAGUCAAAAAUUAGUAUUUCGGAAAGACUGACAUAUCCUAUAUAUGCUUGAUGGAGAGGGUGGCUGAUCUCACUAGCCACUUGUAUAGGAAUACUAAUACAAAGAUGUGGGUGCUCAUUUAGAUAUGAGUCCACUGAACUGACUCACUGACAGAGAACAUCUUAUGGAAACCUUACUUGCAUGUCAAAAAUGGUUCUCUAAGUAGGAGUGGUGCAAGUGAUCCUUAGACCUGAGAUUUUCAUGAAAUCUUGUGCACAUGAACCCAUGUUUUGGUUUAUACCUAGACAUGGCAUUAAGAUAUGUACGGGAUGUUCUGGAUAUAGUGGAAUAUAUACGAAGGUUAUGAGUCAGUCAAUAUAGAAUCUAUCACUCCUAGUAAGAAGAGAUCGCAUCCUGUGUAUUCUCAUCCCUAGAUGACUCAAAAAAUAUCUUUUAGCCAAAAACAGGAUGAAAAUUAGAAAGAGUUUCUAAUACUUCAUCAUCAGAGUCAUCAUUAAUUGAUGGAGAAUCAAUAUGAAUAUGCAAUUGAGUUUGACAUGAUUUCAUACUUAUGAACAUAUUCAAGAUGCAGGGAUGAUCAAGGAUUGAAUUGCAUAGUAACUUGUCACUGAAGGAUAUAUUUGAUAUUUUCAUCAAAUUUCACAUCUUUUGGACAGUCAUAAUACAUUGCUGACGUCAAUCUUGACUUGUAGAUUUGAUCGAAUUAAAGAGUUUAAUUCGAUCGUCAAUUAAAAAAUAUCCUAAUUAUUGAACUCGGAUUAGCUCGAUUGGACCUAAAUCGAUUAGAUUGGAGUCAAAUCAAAUUACGUCAACUUGCAUCCAAGCCUACUGUUGGCUAGAUGUGAAAUCCAAUGGAUCACACACAUAAAAAAAUUGAUCAAAGAUCUUCUUGAUAAGGUCGAUUGAAAUUUUGGAUCCAAUCAGGGUCUUCGAUAAGUAUGCUAGCACGUGUGGAAACCCUAACCCCUUAGGAGAUCAAAUUUGAUCUCAAUGCUUGCUAAUUUGCUAACUAAAUUUGAUGAGCAAUUGGAUUAGAUCGUGCCACCUGGAGGCAACCCAAAGAGGGGCGCUUCAACUCAUCUUAACACCAAAAACCAAGAGUCCUUUUUGUUAAGGACUCUUGGCGCAAAUUUAAGAAGAGCGCACAAGCUCUUUGGUUUUGGCGUGCAAAAGGACCAAAGUCCUGCUUUGGGUCUCUGACCCAUAUGACAACAGAUCAGAUCCUUAACCUCUUUCGCAUGUCUUUUAUAGUAUGAAAAAUCCUUUGGAUUUGGCGUGGAAACACUUCUGGAUGUUGGCGCACGCGCAAGAUGGAGUAACGCGACCUUUCGCGUUAUAGAGUCCUUCUGAUGUUUAAAUUUUAUUUAUACGGAUGCCACCUACCAGAUUAUAUUUCUUAUUGGUUACAUAAUCAAAUGAAAGUUUAUCUGAAAUUUUUUCAGAUUUAUCUGGAAAGGGAAAGAUGCCUGAAACACCCAUUUCGUGCACGCGCAAGGAGAAAGAAUUGACGUGAGGAGUUGCGUCUUCACGCUAUCUUUUCUCUCCACUGGGGUAUAUUAACACCUCAGUUUUUGUGCCAUAAGAAGCCUCAUUCAAAUGGCUAUCUAAGUGGCAAAAUCAGAUUUAAUCUGAUUUGUGAUGAGACACAGAAGAUACAUCUUUUCCCGAAUGGAUGCGAAAGAAGGCUGAAUCUUUGUAUCAGAUAAUUAAGAGUCCUCUUAUAAGACUCUUAGCAUCUGAUACACCAAUUCAUACCAUUUGCGGAGAGACUCAUCUAGACUCUCUGGCGCCCCUUCUAUUGCUAUAAAUAGAGGGCGGCAGAUAGGAUGAUCAUCCAAUUCUUACAACAUCCUAUCCACUCCCUCUCUUACAAUCUUGGUUCUUUUAGGACAAAGCUUGUUCUUUUAAAACAAGCCUAAUCCUCUUAAGACAGAGUUUAAGAGAUUCAGAAGAAGGUGGUUAGGUCCAGUAAAAGAUUUUGAGAAGUCCAGACUCGGAUCUGGAGGAAGGUUUGUUCGACUGAUGGCUAGUCGAGUUCUAGGAGCUAGAACUCUAGAAGCAAGAUGAAGGAGUGCUAUUCUUGGUCUGAUUUUCGUGUGGAUCACUGUUGGAGGGCGGACACUUGGACGCCUCGUGAAAAUUAGGAUUAGCGCUACAAGUAUUCUUCUUAUCCA
rnacentral:lncRNA from 1 species